GCUGUGUUUUCUUACAGGGCAGGUUGGUGAGCCUUUCUGAUGCUCAGUUUCCUUCAUCGAUGAAGUGGGAAGAAGAAUAUCGCCGGGGCAAGAUCGUUACGGGUUUAAAGACAGUAUCUAUACUUAGCUUCUCGGAACUCUCUUGGAGGACACUUUUUUUUUUCCCUGGAGUGAUGAAG